rnacentral:rRNA from 1 species
AAAUCUAAUUACACUUUCCAGUACAAUUACUUUGUUACGACUUAUCUCAAUCUAAAUGAGAGCGACGGGCAAUAUGUACAUAACUUAAAUUUAAAUUCAAUUAAAGAAAUAACUUUAAAUUACUAUCAAAUCCUGUUUCAAAUUAAAUAAAAAAUAAUUAUCCAAAAUAUUUAAAAUUAAAGUAACACAUGUCUGCUUUAAUAAUAACUGCACCUUGACCUAAUAUAAAACUUAAACAGAAAAAAGGAAUUUCUAAAAAAAUACCUCUUAUAUAGAGAUAUACAAAUAUUUUAAUUAAAGUGAAAUUUAUCGUGGUUUAUCAAUUAAGAUACAGGUUCCCCUAAUAAUAAAUUACCGCCAAAUUAUUUAAAUUUGAUAGAAAAUAAACUAUUAAUGUUAAAGUAUAAAAAUAUUAAAUCAAUUAAUAAUAGGGUAUCUAAUCCUAAUUUUAAAUAAAGAUUUAUUAAUAAUUAAAUAAAAGAAUAUAAAUAAAGCUAAAAAUUCCACCUAAAUAAAAUAAAAUUAAACUCAUGUAAAUUUAAAAUUAAAACUAACAGAAUUAAUUUUCUUGAAUUGUGUAACCGCGAAUGCUGGCACAAUUUGUUUCCAAAAUUAAUAUAUAACUUAAUAAAAAUUAAAUAAAAUUAAAAAACUUAUUACUGAAUUAUUAAAAUUUGAAUUCAUAUUCAUAUAAUCACUACAAAUAAUUAAUUUUUUAGAGUUAAUAAAACUAUUA